UUCAUUAACCCACUGCGAUGAGGCAGAAAAAUUGCCACCGGAAAGUUAGUGAAAUUCACAAAUCCCUUUUUAGUCCUUGUGUUUGAAGCACUGGACUAAGUGCUGGGAAUACAGAUCCAAGGUCUGCCAGUAACUCUAAGAGAAGACUGGGCAUGAAGCAUGGUACAAGAGAAGCACAAGACAAGUUAGAACACCGAGUCUGGAAGGUUUAUUUCUGGCUGAGGCAACCAGAGAAUAUGUUAUCUCCCCUGCUUCUUGGGAACAUGGAUCCUUCAUCAGUGACCUGGAAUGGUUGCUGAGUGUGAUGCAGGUUGCUGAGAGUGAUGCAGGUUUUUUGAAUCAGGAAUUUGGGGAGCAGUUUAACUGGGUACCUUUCACUCAAGAUUGUCGUCAGGGAUUGCUGUCAUCUUCCAGACUCAACUGGGGCCGAAGGACCCGCUUCCAGGCUCAGGCACGUGGUUGCUGGCAGGCUUCGGUUCCUUGCAGGCUCCUGGCUUGAGAGUCCCCAUUCCUCUGCGCUGUUGGAUCCCCGGCCGGGUUCCUUGCCGCACCACGUGGUUACGUCCCCAGUGCUGUUAGCAGUAUGGCUGCUUGCUGUCUUCCGUGCCAGUGACCCAAGAGAAAGGAGAAACAGAGCGCCCAAGAUGGAAUCCGCAGUUACAGCAGUGCCCCCGCCAUCCGUGGUUUUGCUUUCUGUGGCUUCAGUUACCCGUGAUCCGAAAAUAUGAAAUGGAAAAUUCCAGAAAUAAACAAUUUAGACAGGGAUUCUUUCUGUCACCCCAUCUGGACUUCAGCUCACUGCAGCCUCAAACUCCUGGGCUCAAGCAAUCCUCCUUCUUCAGCCUUCCAAUUGACUGGUACUACAGAGCAAAGGACACAGCCAGAAGGCAACUAUCUGCAAGCCAGGAAGAGAGGUCUCUCCAGAAACCAACGCUGAGGGCAUCUCAGUUCUGGACUUCUGACCUCCAGAACUGUGAGGAAAUAAAUUUCUGUUGUUUAAGCCA